rnacentral:lncRNA from 10 species
CAGCCCCCACCCCACCCGGUGGAAGUCCGAGGCCUGAGGGGGGGCAUCGAGCGGGGCGUGGGAGGCCCGCACGCUCCCCACCCCCAGCCGCGACCCGGAGGAGGGGAACGUGCCGGGAGGCUCGAGUCCCCCUCCCAGAGUGCUCUGGGCCGGAGAAACCUCCCGCAGGCUCCCGGGCCAGGCGUGCAAGGCCCCCUCUCCUGCCAGGGCCCAGGACGCUGCGGGCCCCAGCGGAGGGGAAGGGGACUAAGUAGGGGAAGAAGCUGUAAACAGCCCCAGCGUCCGGGCCUCGCCUCGAAGAGCCGCGCUUCCCAGGCCCAGCCGCGGGCCGCCCAGGCCCCCAGCCUGCCCCGGGGCCGCCGCGCCCGGGGUCCGGGACACCGGAGGGGAGUCGGGUCCCCUCCCCGGAGAGCUCCGGGAGCUCGCGGAGCGGCCCCAGGAGCAGAGAAGGGGGAAGUCAGGACUUACCUGUCAUUACUUUCUACGCCAUCUUGGAUCCACUUGUCAACGUCCCCACAAAGCAUUAUGGGUAAGAAAGAGCCUUUAAAGUGACUCCCCCCGGCCCCCGACUCCCGCCUCCCGCCGCCGGCGCCGCCCCCUCCGGCCGCGCCUCCCGCCCGGAAAGUUGCCCCGGGUGGACUGCCGACCCCGGCGCCCGCAGCUGGCCCCUUCCCCUCCCCCGGGCUGACGGCAUUGAAAAUUCACCCGCAUUUUUAAAACGUGGCUUUGGGGUUUUCUCCCUUUCUCCUGCCCCGGCCUCCCUGCCCCCACGCCCGGUCCUCUCGCCUCGCCGCGUUCCUGCCCGGGCAGACGCCCCGCGUCUGCAUUGAAUCAACCCGAGGUUUCCUUGCCGCCCGCGGCGCGGCGCGGAGCUGCUCGCGGAUUUAUUUGUGCGCGUGGAUGUGAGCGUUUCUGCUCCUGCGGCCGCGCUUCCAGGAAGCCCGCGAGCGGCCGGGGUCGCCUUCAGAGGCCGCGCAGACCAGCUCCGCACCCGCCGCCCGGAGAGGUGCCUCUGCCCUGGGAAACCGCCCCGGGGCCGUUGGGCUCCGGGAACUGGGAGGACGCCGUGUCCCCGAGUCCACCAGCGUCGAAGCACGAUUUAAAAAAAAAAAUUGAGCCAAAUGCAACUUUUUACCCCUUGUUUACUCUGUGUCCCGCGGUCUCCUCCUCCGGGCGGGUAACGUGAUCCGCGACCCUCUAGGUGGGGACCCCUCCCCUAGGAAUGUGGCUCCAGGCUCCGCGGAGCCACCCUGGGAGCGUCCGGGCUGCGGACUGUGACUCCGGGGCAGGCAUUGACCCAAAUAAGUGUUCAGUUUGUGUGACUGCCCAACCCAUUCACUGCCUCCAGUGUGUGCAUCCAAGCCCAACCUUGUCAAAUACACCGCCUGUUGCCUGAGCUGGGACGGCCUGCCGACUCUUCUCCCUGCCCCUCCUGGAUACCUACAAUGCAUCCUCCACCUGACCAACCCUGUGAUAUUUUAUGAAUGUAAAUCAGAUCGAGACUUCUCUGCUGAAACCUUGGAAUAAAACCCAGAUUCCCAACCCUGGCCUACAAGCUCCUGUGUGAGGUGGUCCCACCUUCCCUCACCAGCAGUGGUCCAGGCUGGCCUUCUCUCUUUCCCUGCAGCGCCCCAAGCUUCCUUCCAGUGAGAACCCUAUUCCCCCAGAUCUUCUGAUUAUCUUUUCUUUGACAGAGUCUUGUUCUGUCGACCAGGCUAGAGUGCAGUAGCGCGAUCUCAAUUCACUGCAACCUCCGCCUUCUAGGUUCAAGCUGUUCUCUGCCUCAACCUCCUGAGUAGCUGGGAUUACAGGCGUCCGCCACCGCGCCCGGCUCAUUUUUGUAUUUUUAGUAGAGACAGGGUUUCACCAUCUUGGCCAGGGUGAUCUUGAACUACUGACCUCGUGAUCCAUGCGCCUUGGCCUCCCAAAGUGCUGGGAUUACAGGCGUGAGCCACCACGCCCGACCCAUCAUCUUUUCAUCAUAUUUAGGUCCCCUCAAAGAGGACUUUUGUGAUCCCCCUACCCAGACCAAGUCACUCUGAACACUUGACCUGUGUUAGAAGUUCUCUUGUUUAGGUCGGACGCUGUGGCUCAUGCCUGUAAUCCCAGCACUUUGGGAGGCCAAGGUGGGUGGAUCACAAGGUCAGGAGUUCAAGACCAGCCUGGCCAAGAUGGUGAAACCCUGUCUCUACUAAAGGUACAAAAAUUACAGCGCGCCUGUAAUCCCAGCUACUCGGGAGGCUGAGGCAGGAGAAUUGCUUGAACCUGGGGGGCCAAGGUUGCAGUGAGCCAAGAUCGUGCCACUGCCCUCCAGCCUGGGUGACAGAGUGAGAAUUCCAUCUCAAAAAAAAAGUUCUCUUGUUUGCCUGUUGUUAGUUGUUUCUUAUCUGCCCCGCCCCCAUUUGAUCAUAUGCUCCCUCUGGGCACAGGCUCUGUCUGGCUUAUUUGCCUCAGUGACUAGACCAGGGCCUGGCACAUACAUAGACGCUCACCAAGUAUUAGUCGAGUACAUGACCAAACUUCUCUCAGGGAUGGGCGUGUUGAUGAAAAGGAGUGCUAAAGUGUGAAGUGAGAUGCUGAGGGCCCUGCCUCGCAUCUCUUCAGACCACUGACCACACACAGCUAGAGGCAGGCAGAAAGGAACAGUGUUGAGGGAAAACAGGUCCCUUGGCCACCACUGAUUUAGCUCAAUUCUGAUUCUGAUCUCAUGAACACACACAGCCCUAACUAACUGAUCCCCCCGACAUCACAUCCCUCUUCCUUCCCACAUUUUUUCUUUCUCCUCUGCUCCCACUGGCCGUGGCUUCUUUUCUUUUCUUUUUUUUUUUUUUUUUUGAAACAGUGUCUUUCUCUGUCACCCAGGCCGGAGUGCAGUGGCGCGAUCUUGGCUCACUGCAACCUCCACCUCCUGGGUUCAAGCGAUUCUCCUGCCUCAGCCUCCCGAAUGCUGGCACCACAGGCACACACCACCACGCCCAGGUAAUUUUUGUAUUUUUAGUAGAGACAGGGUUUCACCAUGUUAACUAGGCUGGUCUCGAACUCCUAGCCUGAAGUGACCCACCCGCCUCGGCUU